rnacentral:tRNA from 1 species
GGAUGUAGCUCAGUGGUAGAGCACUUGCCUACCAUGCCUAAGGUCCUGGGUUCAACCCCCAGCACUGCCA